rnacentral:rRNA from 1 species
CGUCUAUAUACGUAUAGCAUAUCAAUAAGCGGAGGAAAAGAAACUAACAAGGAUUCCCUUAGUAACGGCGAGUGAAGCGGGAAGAGCUCAAAUUUGAAUCUUCAAGGUUCUACCUUGACGAAUUGUAGUUUAAAGAAGUGUUUUCUGUUAGAGGAGGGGCAAAAGUUCCUUGGAAUAGGACAUCAUAGAGGGUGAGAAUCCCGUAUUUGGUUAUUCUUUCUAGCUUUGUGAUACACUUUCAAAGAGUCGGAUUGUUUGGGAAUGCAGUCCAAAAUGGGUGGUAAAUUUCAUCUAAAGCUAAAUAUUGGCGAGAGACCGAUAGCGGACAAGUACCGUGAGGGAAAGAUGAAAAGAACUUUGAAAAGAGAGUUAAACAGUACGUGAAAUUGUCAAAAGGGAAGCGUUUGACACCAGUGUUGUUUUUCCGAAAAUCAAUUAAGAGUGGCUUGAUUUUGUGUUGUAUUGACCUUAUCAGCUUUCUUCACUCUUUUUCGAGUCUUUCUUAAUGCACUUUUCGGUUAACAAGUCAACAUCAAUUUCUUUUGUUGUAAAAGGGUAUUUGGAAGGUGGCUUUCUUUUCGGAGAAAGUGUUUAUAGCCUUAUACCUCUACAAUCGGAGAGAUUGAGGUCUGCAGCGUAGAUCCUUCGGGGCUAGAUACACUUGUGCUAAGUUAUAGCUUUUCAUAGACAACUUGUUGACUAUGUUUAGUCAUGUAGCUUACCCGCUUGUGCUAUUUUACCUACACUUAGGAUGUUGAGUCAUCACACAUCUCU